rnacentral:rRNA from 1 species
UCUGAAUCUGCGAACGGCUCCGCAUACCAGUUGUAAACCAUAGCGAGCAAACCGUGACGGCGUCGCAAGGCAUCGUCGCGGUUAAUAAGGAUAACCCUGGUAAUUCUGAGGCUAAUACAAGAACGUACAACCCGCCCGACCCGCAAGGGAAGGGGGGGGAAUGUGUGACCAGGCACGCAAAUUCGAAACUGGGAGUGGCCACACGUUCAGACCGCCAUACCAAACAGUCGCUCGCUUCGAAAGUCCUCGUGACGAGUAGCGGUGGGUUUCUGGGCGGCUCUCGCUGUGUGCUUCUGACCUAUCAACUAGAUGGCAGCGUAACGGACAUGCUAUGGU